rnacentral:rRNA from 10 species
UCUGGUGAUGAUGGCGAAGAGGUCACACCCGUUCCCAUGCCGAACACGGAAGUUAAGCUCUUCAGCGCCGAUGGUAGUCGGGGGUUUCCCCCUGUGAGAGUAGGACAUCGCCAGGC